rnacentral:lncRNA from 1 species
CACUGAACGCUGGUCUGCCUUCUACGUCUUACCUUGUCAUUUAAGACCACAUACAUAUAUGUCUGUAAUUAUUUCCCUUUAAAACUUUUAUUUAACCUCUCUAAUUUGUUGCUUUCUUUGUUAUAUUAGAGAACAGAGUCUUCAAUUGCCAGUGAUUGUCUAUAGCUUUUACUUCCUCAAGACACCACUUUACGUUGUUUAUUCUGAUCCAGGCACAGUACAACUUCAUUUUAUUCUCCAAAUAAAAGACUGCUGAAGCUUCUGAGAAAAAGAAAAAAGCGAAGGAUCAUCUUUGAUCAUGCAGUGAGCUGAUUCCAAAAUGUGGACAAAAAGCAGACUCAAAGGCAAUGAUUCCGAGAAACAGUGAAUGUCACAAGGAGACACCUGGGCUCUUUAUAAAGAGGUCUCUCUCAGCCUCCCUGCGCUUAGGGACAGUGGACAGCACUGCAGCACUGCAGCACUGCACUUGGGGCCAUUUUAAACAGCGAAGUCACCAAAACCACGCAAAAAAAUGCUAAAAGCACAGUACUAAACAGACCAUGGAAAAGACAUAUGUACAGUAUGAGAAGGUAAAGUGUCUGUCUGACCUCAGUGGGGAGCAUAAGCACUGGAUGACUCAACGUUUUCACUUCUCUGUGCAUGUCCAAAAAUGACAAAAAUGACUCAGUGGAAGUACUCUGCCUGUUGAUUUGGGGGUUAAAAUACA